rnacentral:rRNA from 1 species
GGACCCGCACAAGUAGUGGAGCAUGUGGUUUAAUUCGAAGAUACGCGCAGAACCUUACCAACACUUGACAUGUUCGUCGCGACUCUAAGAGAUUAGAGUUUUCGGUUCGGCCGGACGAAACACAGGUGCUGCAUGGCUGUCGUCAGCUCGUGUCGUGAGAUGUUGGGUUAAGUCCCGCAACGAGCGCAACCCUCACUUUUAGUUGCCAUCAUUAAGUUGGGCACUCUGAAAGAACUGCCAGUGAUAAGCUGGAGGAAGGUGGGGAUGACGUCAAGUCCUCAUGGCCCUUACGUGUUGGGCUACACACGUGCUACAAUGGCGCAUACAGAGGGCGGCCCAACUUGCGAAAGUGAG